AUUACGUUCAGUGAAAGUACUAGCAUAAAAUGGGUUCGUCUUCGAGCAAAGAGCCAAAAGGAAUUCAGCAUUACACAGAGAAGUAUACAAAACAAGGACAACAAAUUACAUCGGAUCUUAAGAAGAAGAUAGAAACUGAUAUAAAUACUGAAUUAGAAGUCCGUGGAAAGAAUAUGAAGAAAUCAUUCAGGUCUCUAGCAAAGAGAAUGAAAAUAAGGAAUAGCUUUCUGAAAAAAUUUACGAAUUAACAUGUACUUACAUCACUAUUACCCAUUUUGAAUAUAAUAUACAAUGUAUAUUAUUAAAAUAUAUUAUACAUAUAUUAUUUACCUAAACUUUAUUGUUAUGUAAUAUUAUUUAUCAUUAUUCAAAUACAUUACAUUUUGAGAUAAGA